CAGCAUGGUUCCAAGAGCUGUGGUCAGUUGUGGCCAUGGGAUCCCCAACUGCAUGUGAGAGCAACCCGAAGGGACUUUGAAAACACAGGUCAGCAUAGUACCUACAGCUGCCAUUCACCUUCCCUGUAACA
ensembl:snoRNA